UACAGAGGUCUCAAGCGUUGUUCGGAUUCAUUGGGCGUAAAGCGUGUGCAGAUGGGGGAGUAAGUGGUGUAUGAAAUCGCUCGGCUUAACCGGGCGGGGUUAUGCCAGACUGCUCUUCUAGAGAACGGGAGAGGGACGUGGAAUUCCGGGUGUAGUGGUGAAAUGCGUAGAGAUCCGGAGGAACCCCUGAGGCGAAGGCGGCGUCCUGGCCCGAUUCUGACAUUCAGACACGACAGCAUGGGGAGCGAACGGG
rnacentral:rRNA from 1 species